rnacentral:tRNA from 1 species
AUAAAAAGAUAAGCUAAGCAAAGCUUUUAGGUUCAUACCCUAAAUAUAGAAAAAACUUCUUCUUUUUA